GUACGGGGGGGCAAGCGUUGUUCGGAAUUACUGGGCGUAAAGGGCUCGUAGGCGGCCAACUAAGUCAGACGUGAAAUCCCUCGGCUUAACCGGGGAACUGCGUCUGAUACUGGAUGGCUUGAGUUUGGGAGAGGGAUGCGGAAUUCCAGGUGUAGCGGUGAAAUGCGUAGAUAUCGAGAGGAACACCUGCGGCGAAGGCGGGUUGCUGGGCCGACACUGACGCUGAUGCGCGAAAGCCAGGGGAGCGAACGGG
rnacentral:rRNA from 1 species